UGGAGAUUCUUUAACUCCUCUGGUCAGAGAAGGAUCUUGGCAUGUGUUUGUACUCGGAUGGAUGAAAGUGAGGAGCAGAGCUGCAUGAACCUGCCAAGUGCCUGUGCUGCCCCUCUCACCAGGUUAAUGAGGAGACCCUACAAAUGAGUUUAACCCCAGGAUAUUUAAACAAUGUCUGCUUCAGAGUACCUGGUACAGGUGAUAACUGCCAGUGCUCUUCACAGCAGAAGCUUGGAGUCAUUAGAGAAUAUCGAGUUUGAAGAAGUGGUGCACCUGAUUAAGCUGGGAUUCAGACAGGACCUUUGCAGGACAGCAAACUUCAUGUCUGGGUAUGGCC
rnacentral:lncRNA from 14 species